CCUCACUGUUCUUAAUCUACGUCCGCGGUAACGACUCUGGUCCUCUUGUACACUUUUUUCCCCAGAGGGAGAGACCCCUGGGCAGAAGGAAGAAAGGAACAGGUGCACAGAACCUUGCCCGGAAGCGCGGACGGGGUUCCCCCAGGCAGGGGUGCACCUGGGGGGCUCACGCGCCACACGUCAUCCUGGGCUCCAGUGCGGACCUGCGGCGGCCCCCGCCGCGCGGACGUCAGAGCCGCGUUGCCAUGGAGUUCCCAGCUGUGUCUGAUGUGGAGUUUCCCGUAACAUCUUCUCUGCUAAGAAAAAUUGGGUAGAUCGCUACACUACCGAACACACUUGGGCUAUCGAAUAUGCUGGGUUUUUCUAUUACAGUUCAUUGGUUUCUGCUUUUUCAAAUACCUCAAAUCCACUUACCACGCCCUUGGAGCCUUUUCUCGCUAAGAGGAGCAUUUCAAGGACAAAUUACGUGUGGUUAAGUAAGACUAGUGGGAUUAUUGGACCACUACAUUGCUUUAGUUAUUCAAUUAUAACAAGACUUAAGCUGUACUCGUCUGAAACUUGCCUAACAUGUACACUUACCUGGGAAUUUUCCAAGUGUGUAUACUCUGAUGAUCCCAACCCUCCUUACAAGUAAAUUGGAUGUGCUAAAACAAUAAACAUGUAAUUUAACUUUUAUUAACACUUACUGUGAGCUUGACACUGUUUAAAGAGAUUCACAUGUUAAUUAAAUUAAUAAUUGUGCUCAUUCAA